AGGAUUUAUCGGUUUUGAAAGAUGUUCCAUCUUUAUUGUCAUUGACAAAUGAAAAACUGCCUUUGAAUUAUAAAUUGCCAAAGGAAUGUGUUUAUCUGCCGGGCUUCCACCUUCACUCGAAUUCCAAGUUGCACACGGAUGCAAGGAGGCAGAUUCGCCAUUUUAUGAAAAGCCAGAAAGCAAAAGACGCAGACUGAUUGCUGUUCCACAUUGACUAUAAGUAUAUCACGAACGGUUUUUAUAACAGCUUAUAUAAUUAAUUCUAGGUUUCGUUUUGGAUACAUCCAAAACCAUUUUCAUAAUCACUUACAGAAAAUUGGUCGAUUAGUCUCCAUAUUCUUAUCAAAUUGGUUUUGGACACACCCAAACAAUUUUCGUAAACUGUGAAACCGCCAAAUUUAUUUGCAUUUGUCUAGGAUUGGUUUUGGAUGCAUCCAAAACCAUUUUCAUUGGCGCUAAAAUCUGUAAAAUGAUUUCCAUUUUCCAAUAGGAUUGGUUUUGGACGCAUCCAAAACCAUUCUCAU